rnacentral:rRNA from 1 species
CCUACGGGAGGCUGCAGUGAGGAAUAUUGGUCAAUGGACGCAAGUCUGAACCAGCCAUGCCGCGUGAAGGAAGACGGCUCUAUGAGUUGUAAACUGCUUUUGUACGGGGGUAAACGCAGAUACGCGUAUCUGUCUGAAAGUAUCGUACGAAUAAGGAUCGGCUAACUCCGUGCCAGCAGCCGCGGUAAUACGGAGGAUUCGAGCGUUAUCCGGAUUUAUUGGGUUUAAAGGGUGCGUAGGCGGUCGGAUAAGUUAGAGGUGAAAUCCCGAGGCUCAACCUCGGAAUUGCCUCUGAUACUGUCCGGCUAGAGAGUAGUGUCGGUAGGCGGAAUGCAUGGUGUAGCGGUGAAAUGCUUAGAGAUCAUACAGAACACCGAUUGCGAAGGCAGCUUACCAAGCUACUUCUGACGUUGAGGCACGAAAGCGUGGGUAGCAAACAGGAUUAGAUACCCUGGUAGUC